rnacentral:misc_RNA from 1 species
GGAGAAUGUCACAUAAAUUUUUGUAAAGAAAUUGCAAACUCGCUAAAUGUUGCAGCAAAAGCGAUUCUUGACAUUGGAAGAAAUCCAAAGGAUUAUCAUCCUGCAUCAAACUCAUCAGGUUAUCAAAUUGUUUAGGUGUCUCAAAAUCCUGGUUAGGCUUAGACCCAUUUAGAAAUACUUCCUAUUAGGGAUGAAAUUUGGUGUCCAAGUUACUUCAUGGACAAGUGUUGCUUGGAGUGACCAUUGGCCUAAACCCAGGGCAAUAAAAGGGAAGGUUAGAGGGGAAUUCUUCAAGAGUGGGUGUACACGGGGUUGUGGGAUUGGCUUAGGGUGUAAACUCAACGAUCUCUUGUUCAUUUGAAUUCUCUCAUAGUAAUGCAAAAAUUCUUGCGUUUUUUUCCUUAAUUAUUUAUUAUUUAUUUAUUUGUUAUUCCUAUUAGUUUUCCCCACGAGUAACUUAAUUUUUGAUACAUCCGCAGACUGAAUAACACAAAUAAAUGAGUGCCCACAAGAUGAAAAGUUUGAAAGGACCACAGACUAGAUUACCUUGUGCUGUGAGUAUUUGUCCCUUACUGCUUGCGAAGCGCUUGCUUCUCUUUUUAAUUGCAGGUCAUGGAUGGCAAUAACACAUUCCUUCAAGUCAGAUGGUUUGUAACCUGAACAGAAUUGCAAUGACGCACUCCAAGGAUGCAUCUUUGGUUGGAUUGUGAACCUUGAAAGGAAAACAGCUGAUGCAGCAAUUAUUGACGGUAAGAAUCGGAGACAGUGAUAAUCUAGCAAACUUAGCUCCCCAAGAAAACAACUCAAGAACUCAAAUUGCAAAUCAGGAGAUUUGCAAUUCUCUUGAGCAGCUUUUGUUAAGAUCCUGAGAAAAUUUUUUGUUGUAGGAGUACUCAUUUCAUAAUUCAAGAAUCUAAGUACAUCUUUCUCCAUAUUGACUACCUCUUCCUUGGUGUAAGUGUUAUCUGUUAUAUAGCAAAAAUCUUCAACAUGUGGAGGAUUAAUCUCUUCAUAUUUCGAGGCAAUAAGCAUGCAAGAAACACCAAGAAGCUGUAGAUUGCUCCUGCUCAGAACUUGCAAAGAAAGGAAUCUGUCAACAUAAGUUACAGUGAGAUAAAGGGUGUCGGAGACAAGCUUGUAUUCCUCAGCAACUUCCACCAACCAGUCCACUAGAACUUCUCGCAUUUUCACUGUAAUAUCUGUCUGCACUUCAGUCAUGUAAUUAGAAACGCACCUUCUUUUGUCCUCCAUCUCUAAGGAAUGAAGAUACCCAUAUAUAGAAGAUGAGUAAGAACUUUUCCUGAACUCCAAGUCCUGAGUCGACCCACUGCUAGGCGAGUUCUCAGGGUUGCUUUGAUUGCUGGUCUUUACUUUACAUUCGGUCUUCUGAUUGAUCUCAACAUCCGAAUUCUGAGUUGACUCAGAGGUUGACGAGUUCUCUGGAUCUUUUUUAUUCCUCUUCUUCAGUUGGCGCUUGUGCUUGGCACCGGUUUCAACAUCUGAGUUCUGAGUUAUCUCCUUCAAUACGCAUUCAAUCUUGCAGGUGGUCUGGCGAUCCAGGAUCCGAGUGGACUCAUUGAUGAUACUGGGAGUGUUGGUGAGCUCUCCAAGGGGGACUCGCUUCUUGGAGAAUUGCAGGGAAGGAGCAGCCACAGAGGCCCGCUUCUUCGAGGAUGAGCGGGCGGACUUGACGCUACUCUCAUUGUCGCCCAUUUGGUUUGUUGGAAUGGAAGUUAAUUUAGAAAAUGGAAAUAGGUUUAAUUAGGGUUUCCAACGAGGUGGGCGUAGGAGAGAGAUGAAGGCAUGGAUACAGAGAGAGGUGAAAGAUGCCGCCACUUUCACCAUUUGAAAAGAGUUUUUGCCG